UGGGGAAUCUUGGACAAUGGGGGCAACCCUGAUCCAGCCAUGCCGCGUGGACGAUGAAGGCCUUAGGGUUGUAAAGUCCUUUCACCGGUGAAGAUAAUGACGGUAGCCGGAGAAGAAGCCCCGGCUAACUCCGUGCCAGCAGCCGCGGUAAUACGGAGGGGGCUAGCGUUGUUCGGAAUUACUGGGCGUAAAGCGCGCGUAGGCGGGCUGUUAAGUCGGGGGUGAAAUCCCCGGGGGCUCAACCCCGGAACUGCCUCCAAAACUAUUGGUCUAGAGUUCGAGAGAGGUGAGUGGAAUUCCAAGUGUAGAGGUGAAAUUCGUAGAUAUUUGGAGGAACACCAGUGGCGAAGGCGGCUCACUGGCUCGAUACUGACGCUGAGGUGCGAAAGUGUGGGGAGCAAACAGGAUUAGAUACCCUGGUAGUCCACGCCGUAAACGGUGGGCGCUAGGUGUGGGGAUCGUUUCCACGAUCUCCGUGCCGUAGCUAACGCAUUAAGCGCCCCGCCU
rnacentral:rRNA from 1 species